rnacentral:rRNA from 3 species
GACGAACCGUCCAAACGUUGUUCGGAAUCACUGGGCUUAAAGGGCGCGUAGGCGGACUGCCAAGUCCGGGGUGAAAUCUUUCGGCUUAACCGGAAAAGGGCCUUGGAAACUGGCGGUCUCGAGGGAGGUAGGGGCCUGUGGAACUUCGGGUGGAGCGGUGAAAUGCGUUGAUAUCCGAAGGAACGCCGGUGGCGAAAGCGACGGGCUGGAUCUCUUCUGACGCUGAGGCGCGAAAGCCAGGGGAGCAAACGGG